CUCGGGAUGCGGAGGAGCGCCAGAGGUUCAGUGAAAAAAUAAUUGUCUUGCUCCUCACUGUCGAUGCAAUUGAGGGAGUUGAUUUGAUGGUGCGAACUGCAAAGAGGUCAAUGAUAGUCGAACUAGAAGCCAUGCUUGAUGUGGUUGAUCCCCAACCUGCUAAAAGAUCAAUUUCCUUUCGUAGAAGGACGUUCGAUAUGCCCAGUGGAAGCAUCAAUAAGGAAAUUGCAGCUGGUGUAGCUCAGGUAGUCCAGUUGAUUGAUGAAGCAGAGAACAGUGUCAAUGCUUUUGAGGCCUCCGAAUAAAGCAACAUGAUUUCUCAAAGUACUGCCUCUUUCGAGUUUCGAAUAAGGUUCAUGUAGAAGAUGAAGCGGCUUAGUUGACGAGAUGUGUUACAGAGGUUUUGAUUAUGCUGUACUAAGGUUGUUCAGUUUAGUAGUUGAUUUGGUUUUCAGGUGCUUGUAUUGUGG
rnacentral:misc_RNA from 1 species